UCAACUCGGAGGAAGGUGGGGAUGACGUCAAAUCAUCAUGCCCCUUAUGUCUUGGGCUUCACGCAUGCUACAAUGGCCGGUACAAUGGGUUGCGAUACUGUGAGGUGGAGCUAAUCCCAAAAAGCCGGUCUCAGUUCGGAUUGGGGUCUGCAACUCGACCCCAUGAAGUCGGAGUCGCUAGUAAUCGCAGAUCAGCAACGCUGCGGUGAAUACGUUCCCGGGCCUUGUACACACCGCCCGUCAAGCCAUGGAAGCCGGGAGUGCCUGAAGUCCGUCACCGAGAGGAGCGGCCUAGGGCAAAAUCGGUAACUAGGGCUAAGUCGAAACAAGGUAGCCGUACCGGAAGGUGCGGCUGGAUCACCUCCUU
rnacentral:rRNA from 1 species